rnacentral:tRNA from 1 species
GGAGAGGUGGCCGAGCGGCUGAAGGCAACAGUUUGCUAAACUGUCAUACACCAAAAGUGUAUCGAGGGUUCGAAUCCCUCUCUCUCCG